GGGGAUGUGGCUCAGUGGUAGGGUGCUUGCCUGGCAAGCAAGGACCUAAGCUCAAUCCCCAUUACCA
rnacentral:tRNA from 1 species